GCAAGCCUGAACGAGCGAUGCCGCGUGAGUGAAGAAGGCCUUCGGGUCGUAAAGCUCUGUUGCGGGGGAAAAAAGGCAGCAUCAGGAAAUGGGUGCUGACUGAUGGUGCCCCGCCAGAAAGUCACGGCUAACUACGUGCC
rnacentral:rRNA from 1 species